AUUGAACGCUGGCGGCAGGCCUAACACAUGCAAGUCGAGCGGAUGAGGGGAGCUUGCUCCCUGAUUUAGCGGCGGAUGGGUGAGUAAUGCGUAGGAAGCUGCCCGAUAGAGGGGGAUACCAGUUGGAAACGACUGUUAAUACCGCAUAAUGUCUACGGACCAAAGUGUGGGACCUUAGGGCCACAUGCUAUCGGAUGCGCCUACGUGGGAUUAGCUAGUUGGUGAGGUAAUGGCUCACCAAGGCGACGAUCGCUAACUGGUUUGAGAGGAUGUUCAGCCACACUGGAACUGGGACACGGUCCAGACUCCUACGGGAGACAGCAGUGGGGAAUUUUGGACAAUGGGCGCAAGCCUGAUCCAGCCAUGCCGCGUGUGUGAAGAGGGCAUUCGGGUUGUAAAGCACUUUCAGCGAGGAGGAAGGGUGGUGUGUUAAUAGCACAUCAUUUUGACGUUACUCGCAGAAGAAGCACCGGCUAACUCUGUGCCAGCCGCCGCAGUAACAC
rnacentral:rRNA from 1 species